rnacentral:rRNA from 1 species
GAUGAACGCUGGCGGCGUGCCUAAUACAUGCAAGUCGAGCGAACAGAUGAGGAGCUUGCUCCUCUGACGUUAGCGGCGGACGGGUGAGUAACACGUGGAUAACCUACCUAUAAGACUGGGAUAACUUCGGGAAACCGGAGCUAAUACCGGAUAAUAUAUUGAACCGCAUGGUUCAAUAGUGAAAGACGGUUUUGCUGUCACUUAUAGAUGGAUCCGCGCCGCAUUAGCUAGUUGGUAAGGUAAGGGCUUACCAAGGCAACGAUGCGUAGCCGACCUGAGAGGGUGAUCGGCCACACUGGAACUGAGACACGGUCCAGACUCCUACGGGAGGCAGCAGUAGGGAAUCUUCCGCAAUGGGCGAAAGCUUGACGGAGCAACGCCGCGUGAGUGAUGAAGGUCUUCGGAUCGUAAAACUCUGUUAUUAGGGAAGAACAAAUGUGUAAGUAACUAUGCACGUCUUGACGGUACCUAAUCAGAAAGCCACGGCUAACUACGUG